UGACGGCUUAUGAAGAAGCUCCUGCACACUGACAUGUAAUCCAAAAAGGGAAGAAGGAAAAUGCAGCUGAUAGAGAAGGCUGUUCUUGGGAGUGCGCCCAUGGCCCAUCUGAUCAGGAGUUUAUCUGGGUCCGUGGGUUGAUCAACAUAUGUCACAGAUGACAGGAUAUUGAAAUGUUUUCUUUCCCCGCUUCAAGCCUACAUGCUAGCAAUCAUGAUUCUAGAGUGCUUCUU